CCGACACGGGGAGGUAGUGACAAUAAAUAACAAUACAGGGUUCUUUUGGGUCUUGUAAUUGGAAUGAGUACAAUUUAAAUACCUUAACGAGGAACAAUUGGAGGGCAAGUCUGGUGCCAGCAGCCGCGGUAAUUCCAGCUCCAAUAGCGUAUAUUAAAGUUGCUGCAGUUAAAAAGCUCGUAGCUGAACCUUGGCCUUGGUUGACCGGUCCGCCUAACGGUGUGCACUGGCUCGACCGAGGCUUUCCUUCUGGCUAGCCUGUAUGGUAUUAAUUUAUUGUGCAGGGGAACCAGGACUUUUACUUUGAAAAAAUUAGAGUGUUCAAAGCAGGCUUAUGCUCGAAUACAUUAGCAUGGAAUAAUAGAAUAGGACGUGUGGUUCUAUUUUGUUGGUUUCUAGGACCGCCGUAAUGAUUAAUAGGGACAGUUGGGGACAUUAGUAUUGAGUUGUCAGAGGUGAAAUUCUUGGAUUUACUCAAGACUAACUACUGCGAAAGCAUUUGUCAAGGAUGUUUUCAUUAGUCAAGAACGAAAGUUAGGGGAUCGAAGACGAUCAGAUACCGUCGUAGUCUUAACCAUAAACUAUGCCGACUAGGGAUCGGGCGAUGUUCUUUUCUUGACUCGCCCGGCACCUUAUGAGAAAUCAAAGUUUUUGGGUUCCGGGGGGAGUAUGGUCGCAAGGCUGAAACUUAAAGAAAUUGACGGAAGGGCACCACCAGGAGUGGAGCCUGCGGCUUAAUUUGACUCAACACGGGGAAACUCACCAGGUCCAGACAAAGUAAGGAUUGACAGAUUGAUAGCUCUUUCUUGAUUCUUUGGGUGGUGGUGCAUGGCCGUUCUUAGUUGGUGGAGUGAUUUGUCUGCUUAAUUGCGAUAACGAACGAGACCUUAACCUGCUAAAUAGCCCGACUAGCUUUUGCUGGUCGCUGGCUUCUUAGAGGGACUAUUGGCAUAAAGCCAAUGGAAGUUUGAGGCAAUAACAGGUCUGUGAUGCCCUUAGAUGUUCUGGGCCGCACGCGCGCUACACUGACGGAGCCAGCGAGUUCAUUUCCUUGGCCGGAAGGUCUGGGUAAUCUUGUGAAACUCCGUCGUGAUGGGGUUAGAGCAUUGCAAUUAUUGCUCUUCAACGAGGAAUUCCUAGUAAGCGCAAGUCAUCAGCUUGCGUUGAUUACGUCCCUGCCCUUUGUACACACCGCCCGUCGCUACUACCGAUUGAAUGGCUUAGUGAGACCUCCGGAUCGUCGUUGGGCUGCUGGCAACGGCGGCCCUGUGAUGAAAAGUUGGUCAAACUUGGUCAUUUAGAGGAAGUAAAA
rnacentral:rRNA from 1 species